CCUACGGGUGGCAGCAGUCGAGAAUCAUUCACAAUGGGGGAAACCCUGAUGGUGCGACGCCGCGUGGGGGAAUGAAGGUCUUCGGAUUGUAAACCCCUGUCAUGUGGGAGCAAAUUAAAAAGAUAGUACCACAAGAGGAAGAGACGGCUAACUCUGUGCCAGCAGCCGCGGUAAUACAGAGGUCUCAAGCGUUGUUCGGAAUCACUGGGCGUAAAGCGUGCGUAGGCUGUUUCGUAAGUCGUGUGUGAAAGGCGCGGGCUCAUCCCGCGGAAGGCACAUGAUACUGCGAGACUAGAGUAAUGGAGGGGAAACCGGAAUUCUCGGUGUAGCAGUGAAAUGCGUAGAUAUCGAGAGGAACACUCGUGGCGAAGGCGGGUUACUGGACAUUAACUGACGCUGAGGCACGAAGGCCAAGGGAGCGAAAGGGAUUAGAUACCCGAGUAGUC
rnacentral:rRNA from 1 species